rnacentral:rRNA from 1 species
CCUACGUGAGGCAGCAGUAGGGAAUCUUCCACAAUGGGCGAAAGCCUGAUGGAGCAACGCCGCGUGGGUGAAGAAGGUCUUCGGAUCGUAAAACCCUGUUGUUAGAGAAGAAAGUGCGUGAGAGUAACUGUUCACGUUUCGACGGUAUCUAACCAGAAAGCCACGGCUAACUACGUGCCAGCAGCCGCGGUAAUACGUAGGUGGCAAGCGUUAUCCGGAUUUAUUGGGCGUAAAGGGCACGCAGGCGGUCUUUUAAGUCUGAUGUGAAAGCCUUCGGCUUAACCGGAGUAGUGCAUUGGAAACUGGGAGACUUGAGUGCAGAAGAGGAGAGUGGAACUCCAUGUGUAGCGGUGAAAUGCGUAGAUAUAUGGAAGAACACCAGUGGCGAAAGCGGCUCUCUGGUCUGUAACUGACGCUGAGGUUCGAAAGCGUGGGUAGCAAACAGGAUUAGAUACCCGAGUAGUC